ACGGGAGGCAGCAGUGGGGAAUAUUGGGCAAUGGGCGCAAGCCUGACCCUGCAACGCCGCGUGAAGGAAGAAGGCUUUCGGGUUGUAAACUUCUUUUAAGAGGGAAGAGCAGAAGACGGUACCUCUAGAAUAAGCCACGGCUAACUACGUGCCAGCAGCCGCGGUAAUACGUAGGUGGCAAGCGUUGUCCGGAUUUACUGGGUGUAAAGGGCGUGCAGCCGGGUCUGCAAGUCAGAUGUGAAAUCCAUGGGCUCAACCCAUGAACUGCAUUUGAAACUGUAGAUCUUGAGUGUCGGAGGGGCAAUCGGAAUUCCUAGUGUAGCGGUGAAAUGCGUAGAUAUUAGGAGGAACACCAGUGGCGAAGGCGGAUUGCUGGACGAUAACUGACGGUGAGGCGCGAAAGUGUGGGGAGCAAACAGGAUUAGAUACCCUGGUA
rnacentral:rRNA from 1 species